rnacentral:lncRNA from 1 species
CAGGCCAUUUAGUUGCCAAGAUCACUAGGAACAACGUCGCAUAGGAGUUGAGCGACAUCAUUUUAAGUUCAACAAAUCUUGGCCCUUUAUUUUGUGUCAUCUAAUGAUCCAUAGCCCAUUUCCAUGUUUGCUUAAGACUGUCUGAAACAAUUCAGAGACAGUUCAAUUCCAAUCUCUCAUAUCUCUCAUCUCUCAUACACAACCCUAGCGCAACCAUAAAAUUUUUGCCACUUUCACAGGCAAAGGAGCUCCAAAUCACACCAAUUUUCACCAUCCACUCCCCACACUCCCUCAAACAUGAAUUCAUUGCCAAAGUUCCCGAAAUCCCAACUUCCUCUCUUUAACUUUGAAUUUGAAAAUCAUAAGAGAUACAAUACUCCGACUCAUAUGCUUUCAAGACUCGACUUGACUCAAAACUUCCGUUAAGUGAUUGUUCUUGCUUAGGAUAAUCGAUUAACGAUAGUUUUGGCUUGUUUCAAGAUCAGCUAGUUCCUGACCAGACCAAGAACAUUUGGCCAAGCUUGUCGCCUUCGUCGAUCUAUUACGGCCAAGACCAGUACUAUUCCUUAAUGGUUUCCUUUUCCGUGUCUUUACUUGUUUUUGUUUCUCCGGUUCUUGUAUUUUCAUGUGUUUUAAUUAGUUUUAGUUCAAUUAAAAUUAGUGGUUCUAGCUAUUCAAUUGUGUGAUUAGGAGUAGAACCUUAUUUGAUUUUAUUUUUGCUUGAGUUUGGUUUUGUUUGGGACUAUUUAUGUUUAGUCAGUAAUUUCAUUAAAGAUUUGAUGAAUUAGUUUCGUGCUCCUUUAUUCAGUUGAAGAUUUGGGCUUUAGUAUAUGGGCCCAGGGUUUGGGUUUUGGGUCAAUUCCGACUCAUUUUGGGUCAGAACCAUUGGGUCAAGGUUGACCCAUUCUGGUUUUGAAGGGUAAUUAGUAAGGGUAUGAGCGGUAAUUUAGGUAAUUAGCUUAGGGAAUCUAUAUCUAACAAAACAGGAAGCUUCUAGGAAGCUGGGGAGAGGGGCUAUUCUGAAUUUCUGGUUUUUAAAUAAGGAUAUCUGAGCUAUAAUAAAAAUUCCAUAAGGGGCAAAAUACAAAGACUGAUGUCUUUAAGUUUCCCUAGUGCCUUGCCUAUAAAGGCACCAAGACUUGCUAUUUAAGUCAGAGGGGAAGAGAUAAAAAAUUCUAGAAAAAUAAAACGACUGGGAUUUCUUGAGAAUUCUAAAUUCCUUAACUUAUUUAUUUAGAAAACUGCUCAAAUAUUGCUCAUUGUUUAGUCUUCUGAUUUUAUUUGGUGAACAAAAACUUCUAAAAAUCAUAGUUGAUCAUCCUAGGGUUGAAAUGGAUCGAAGUUGUGUUUUGAAAAGUUCUGGUUCAAGCUUUGUUGUGGGUUUAAUGUUCCAUUGAAUUUCUUGAGCUGAUUUCACGGUUUUGACUGGUCGAAUCUAGGCUGGCUGAUAGUGUUUACUACUGAUCCCUCAUUUUCUAUUUUGUUUUUCUUUCCAGGUACACUUUUCUGAAUCCCACAUCAUGUGAAGUAUUUAUUCGAAGUGUGAAAUAAAAUUCGAAAUGCUAAGCAUGGCUUCAAUGUUUUGAAUCUUUGGUUCAAUUCCAUUUUUCUUAGAUAAAAUGAUUCUAAGCCUUUUUAUGUACUGUAUGAGAACUGAGUUGGUUGCUAUUUGAUAUGAAGUUAUUUUUAGCCAAGCACUCAUUAGUUAAAUGUCAGAUUUAGAGUUCUUCUUGUGUAAGCAUGUUAGCUAAAGUCUGUGGUGUUAGAUCUCUUGUCUCUAGGUAACUCACUUAAACAUUGUGGCAUAAGGUUGUAUCCAUGUUUUCAUGUUACUGUAUGAUAGAUUAAGCUCCAUUAGAGAGGUUAUAUGAAAAGUAGUGAAUGUUCCAUUUUGAAAGUUAACUGUUGGUUUUAAGUUGUUUGGGAAUGAGGAUUUUAAGGUGGGGAAAAGGGAUAUAGAGGAGCAUAGGUUAAUACCUAUAUACUGAAUUUUGGAAUCAUGUUAAAGUGUAUGUUAUUGAAUAAUUUAACUAUGCGUGGGAACUGUAAUAGCAACUCUUAGAAUAUUCAGUUGAAUGGUGUUUAAUUUCAUGUACUUGGAUGUUCUGAUUUAUUAAUGAUUAGCAUGUCCAUUACUGAAAAUGAAGUAAAAAUACUGAGAGUUGGUGCAUUAGAUUGGCCAUUCGGAGCCUAGUAGCUCUGCUCGAGUCUGUUUAGGCUCCAUUUAGAUUUGCAGUUGAAUUUGUUCUCAUGAUAAACUCGGGC